UACGAAGGUGGCAAGCGUUGUUCGGAUUCACUGGGCGUACAGGGAGCGUAGGCGGUUGGAUAAGCCCUCCGUGAAAUCUCCAGGCUUAACCUGGAAAGUGCAGAGGGGACUGUUCAGCUAGAGGAUGGGAGAGGAGCGUGGAAUUCCGGGUGUAGCGGUGGAAUGCGUAGAUAUUGGGAGGAACACCAGUGGCGAAGGCGGCUACCUGGACCGGUUCUGACGCUGAGGCGCGAAAGCGUGGGUAGCAAACGAGGA
rnacentral:rRNA from 1 species